UUUGUUGAGUAAUACAAAGCACCUAUAUUACUUAAAAAAAAAACAACAACAACAGGGCUUCUAUCCCCAUGACUUCCAGUCAAGGGCUUAAGUAUCUCCCCCAAGAGAGAGAUCAGAAGCACCUGUAUUACUGUGGCACUUCCUGGUACCUUCCUUUCCAACUACACUGUGCCAUUUUGCUUGGAUAUUAAAGGCAAGGGUGAUUCCCCAGGAGAAAGUCUGUAAUGUAAUAAUUGCCUUAGAAUGUGCUAUUUGGAUUACAUGAUAAAGCAUUUUCUAUGAAAUGGAAGAGCUGAGAUCAUAGCAUGUGCACUUGUGUAGAUUAAGGAGUGUGGAUAUGCACUCACCCAUUUCACUCACCCACUCCUCUCAGGUGGAAUAUUGGAGAAAGGAAGGGUCCAAUGGAAUUCAAUACUCCCAGGUGUUUCAAGUGUUGUGGAAAAAGGGAGUUCGUGUGUUUCCCUAAGAUUACUUUGUGGGAGAGAUGGUUUUAAUUUCCUUGAAGCUUUCAGAUUUCGGACUGGGGAGAGGGACAGAGCUUUCCUGGGGAGAGAAACAAUGCUGCUGACUGCUGGGCAUUUGCUGCUAAACGGGAGCAAAUAAAGGGCAAGAGGCCCCUUCAGAAGGAUCUGACUUGAAACUGAGUGAGUCUGUAGGAUUGGAUGGGAGGCCCUAUGCUGCUGGAGUUUGUGUGUGUGGUGAGGGUGGGUGGGCAUUUGCAUUAAGUCCUCUAGUUUGUAUUCCUAGUCAUGUGACCCAGCAACUUUUAAAAAUGUCUCUUUUUUUCUUAAAACAUUAUAGUUUGCUUCACUUGCAAGAUCCAAACCAUAAAAAAGUGAACAUUUAUCCUUUAUCUGUGCCUCUGGUUUCUCAGUCUUAUGAAAUCUGCCUUAAAUGAACCUAGAGGAGAAGCAAAGAUGCCCUUUGCUUCUCUCCAGAGUAGACCAGCCUCAUUCCAGGACCCACACAUCCUAGAAUGCCCAGGAAGGGAGAGAGGUGAGCCCCGGGGCACUGAGCCUGAUCCUCAUCUUUGUCCAUUCCGAUGAGAAUAGAGGAUUUCUCUGGUUUAUUGUUUUCUUUUCUUUUAAGAUGGUGGUGAUUUUUACAUGUCAAUUUUACAUGUUCGGAAAUGGCUUUUCUGAGAUAUUUUUCCUGGUCAUUCUAUAUCCCGAGCUUCAAGAAAACUUAUGUAAUGGUGACUUAUGUAAAGCACACUUCUCUGGUAUUUUCUCCAAAAGACUGACAGCACCAAGUCUAAAUUUAUGGAAGCUAAAGCUUACAAAGAAUUAACUCAUCUCUUUAUAAAAACUGAAAAUUGAUCCUUUAAAAUUGCUGCAGAACAUUCUGGUGCUUUUCCAGAGAAAAAGAAAGUAACUAUGUGGAAGGUCACAGUCUGGUAAUCUAUUGAAAUGGUGUUGUCAUUUCUAAAUAUAUGGGGGAUGUAGCAGGUGCAUAAUCAAGCAGGGAAGUGAGCCGAUACACAUUUAGAGGUGAGACUUUGGGAAGAGAGCUGAGUCUGAAAUAAAUACUAAAAUCAUAAUUUUAUUAUUUCUGUAAUUUAUUUUAUUUUAUUUUUUCCAGGUUCACUGAAGGAUAAUUGACAAAUGAAACUGGAUUAUAUUUAAAGUGUAUAAUGUGAUGAUUUGAUACACGUUUGCAUUGUGAAAGGAUCUCUCCAUCAAACUAAUACAUCUGUCACCUCAUGUAUUUACCUUUUAUCUUUUAAAAAUAUAAUUUUUUGGUCUUGGACAAAAGGAGGAAGUGAUAAUAUUGGAACCAGUUCCUUGGAAGCACUGGAAAACACAGGCUCCAGGGGAACGUCUUUUUCCCCAACUUCUCUUGAUACCAGUGACAACAAAGAAGCCACACAGCGCUCUCUGUGUUUCUUGGAGCAGAGCCCUGGGCCCAAUGGCCAACGGGGACACCAGUGAUGGAACAGUCAUCAUUCAACUGUCAUACCUAGAAUGUCACACACCAUAUCUGCAAAAAAAAUCUUCAUUCACGCUAAAUAUCACAUUUGCUGGUAUCUUUCUUGACCCCUUCUGUCGUAAUUCAACACAAUUCACACUGUUACUGCUGUGUGAAAGAAAACAAUUUUUUUUUCUCACAGAGAUUCUGAAGAGAGUAAUUUCGGAGCGUUCCCCUGACAUGUUGUAAGAAGGCCCAUUUUGACAAGACUGUGCUUUUCUUUGUUAAAUCCACAUUUGGUUGGUUUGUUUUUUGUUAAAUCCAAAUUUUCUGCUUACGGCCACAGACUGGGGGGUCUGAGAAGAAAUUACUGGCAUCCCUACAAAAUGGGGAAGGGUUAGCAUGGCUGUCUUAGACCAAGUUUUCAUAUCAAUUGUAAAUGUCUAGGCUAGAUGAUAGCAGAGCUCCAGCACCUUAGCAGCAAAAAUGCAGGGCCUCUACUAGGUUCAUUGAUGACUGCUAGAGAAUUUAGCCUCACUGAAUGACGGUACCAACUGGCACAGAGUGCUGACUGGCAUUCCCACCACAUUUCUUCAUCCCCCAUGGCUUUCUCUGAGUACCUGGGCUUCUCACUCAUGGACAUUGUUCAUACUCCGCUGAGAGAAGCAGUAUCCUCAGGAAUAUUCCCAGGCACCAUGCAAGAGCCAUAAUCUAGACUUUGGAUUCCAAGCCUCUUAGAAGUUUGACUUGUAUUAUCUGUUUUCUGUUACCGUUUAACAAAUUAUCCUAAAACUUCGUGGCUUCACACACAUCUAUUAUCUCACAAAGUUCCUGUGGGUCAGGAAUUUAAGAGUGCUUAGCUGGGUGGUUCUGACUUGGGGUCUCAUGGGAGGUUGCAGUCAAGAUGGUGGCCAGGCUGGCAUGGGCCUGAAGAUCUGACUGGCAGUUGGUUCCCUCCAAUGACUGUUGGUGAGAGGCAGCAAGCAUGGGGCAUUGAUACUGAAAGAAAGGCUUCUAAGCUGAGUUGUCCUUCUGGAGCUCUUGUCAAGGAGCAGGGUAGGGCUCACCAUGGGAGAUCCAAGCAAAGAGGAGAGUUGACUGGUGAGUUGGCCCAGAGUGCCCCUGUGUGGCAGGGGCCAACACAGUCCAAGGGAAGAGGAGUUGAACUUAGGCAAUUUUGAAGAACAGAGCUGCUGCCUUCCUGGGCACGGAGAUCUCUCAUUUACAAGAAUGAACACACACUCCGCCUAGAGGUUUGGCAAUCUGGCAGAGAGGAUGUCAAGUAAGAUGAAAGGCCCAUCGGCAGCCGAGAUGAGAGCUUGAGAGUGACCUACUUCUCUACCACUCACAGCUGAUUAUGGGACAGAGUGAGGCUGAACUGUUCAUAAGUCCUGUCAGAGAGAGCGUUCAGUGAAAACUACUCAUGAGCAAAAGAGCUGGAUUAAAUGGUUGCUUUUUAUGUUCUGGGGACUCCAGCAUGUCCUGGUUUUCAGAUACCAGCCAUUUAGCUGUGUGCUCUGGAGUAACAUUAUAGGCAAGCACCAGUAGAAAAUGUUAGAGUUAUUCCAGUAUGGAGUUUAAAGAUGAUUCCCUUCCAAAGACACCACCUUACAAGUAAGAAACCGAGGUUCUAGGAGGUUAACUGACAUCCCCAGGGCUACUGAGUUAUGUAUGGGUGGCAAGUCUGCUACUGGACAUCCUA